UACGUAGGGGGCAAGCGUUGUCCGGAAUCAUUGGGCGUAAAGAGCGUGUAGGCGGCCCGGUAAGUCCGCCGUGAAAGUCCAGGGCUCAACCCUGGGAUGCCGGUGGAAACUGUCGGGCUCGAGUCCGGAAGAGGCGAGUGGAAUUCCUGGUGUAGCGGUGAAAUGCGCAGAUAUCAGGAGGAACACCAAUAGCGAAGGCAGCUCGCUGGGACGGUACUGACGCUGAGACGCGAAAGCGUGGGGAGCAAACAGG
rnacentral:rRNA from 1 species